CAGUAAUACAAAGGGUUUAGUGAGGCACGGAACACAUUAUAGCGGAACACAUUAUCAUGCAGAGUGAGGUGUGGAACGCAUCACAGCAGUAGUGACACGCAUACGGGAGGCCGGACAGGAAGUGGCGCAGGUGGCGUCUGGGUUCGAGCGCAAACUUUCAUACACAGUGAGGGAUAUAUAAAGGAGCUGUAUCCUGACACAUAUGCCACCAGUCAGGAUCGGAGGAUCGAGUGGUCGUGGACAGUGAGUGAUCAGCAGUGGAGAAUACCGCACUGAGGGUAAACAUUCCUGAAUAAUGUAUAUAUAGUCCUCAUGAGUGGUCAUCUACUGUUUACCUUAAGCAAUAUUUCUGGCUACUUCCUGUCUGUAUAAGGAAUAAAGAGUACAACUGGAAUAUAAUUGCUAUGAGUUGCUUGAUCCAACUAAUGACACUGCACCAAUGAAAAUAUAUAUAAUCAGCAAGCUUUGGCCUGUUUGUUUAUUGUGCUUUUUAUGUGAUGUGCUAUAAUAAUAUUUUGUCAGCUUAUCUAUGUAUGAUAUAAUCUCUGUAUUCAUGAGAUGGAAUAAUCUUAUGUACAGUUAAAUUCUCCACUUACUCAUUAUAAUAUCCCCUGAUGAACCAUAUUAUUAUCUGACAUACAUGGAAA